UUUCAUCUCAAAUGAUCACGCCAAGGAAGCUCUUGUUGCUAUGACAACAGCAACUUUGGUUGCUAUGACACAGUAUCGGUUAUAGCCACUUAAGGAAGGAGUCUUUAGAACAUCUGUUCUAUGGGGCAUUCUAAUGCUACAGUGUUCAUCAAGUAGGUACAACAGAAGACUAGGGAUCAACACCAAGUUUUGCAUUGCGCUAACUGCCUGAAAUCCUUUGUGGCUUCCUGAGAGACAUACUUCUUCAGAAACCAAUCACAGGAAGCAGAGGGAAGAGAGACCAAGCAGCAUCAGAAAGCAGGCAUGGAGUGGCUUUGCCACUGCCAUCUUUAGAAGUCAGACCUUACUUCUCAGAGCAGACUCUGGCUCUCUGAGAUCCUUUCCGGGCUGAGGUUGCAUUCCCCCAACCCCCAGAAGACUCCUUGCCUCUCUUUAGUUGUUCCUGUGGGUGCUUGGCAGAGUGAUGAAAGCAUUGUCAUUUGGUAUUCUCACCACAGGGUUUUACAACAUCAUUUGAGAUAUAUAAAUGAAGAUAUUUCUUCCGGGUAUCAAGCCCAUCUGUGGAUGUUAUUUAAUGAAAUGGGAAGGAAGGAUACAAACCAAAUGGUACCAGGGACAGUCAGGCAAGUUCCAGAUCUCAGCAACGCAACCCAAACAAGAGAGGCAGGAAGAGAUGAGAUACCGGCAACCACCACCUGGACAGAGCUCGCUCCAAGGAAGACCGAAGCGCAUCUGCUGCCUUGUUUUGUUCGAAGGCUUGCUUUCACAUAGUUUGCUCUCCAACUAGAUUAA